GACGACCUCUGGCGGCACGCUUAACACAUGCAAGUCGAACGAGAGAAGAGAAGCUUGCUUUUCUGAUCUAGUGGCGGACGGGUGAGUAACACGUGAGCAAUCUGCCUUUCAGAGGGGGAUACCGAUUGGAAACGAUCGUUAAUACCGCAUAACAUAAUUGAACCGCAUGAUUUGAUUAUCAAAGAUUUAUCGCUGGAAGAUGAGCUCGCGUCUGAUUAGCUAGUUGGUAAGGUAACGGCUUACCAAGGCGACGAUCAGUAGCCGGACUGAGAGGUUGAUCGGCCACAUUGGGACUGAGACACGGCCCAGACUCCUACGGGAGGCAGCAGUGGGGAAUAUUGCACAAUGGAGGAAACUCUGAUGCAGCGAUGCCGCGUGAGGGAAGAAGGUUUUAGGAUUGUAAACCUCUGUUUUCAGGGACGAAAAAAGACGGUACCUGAGGAGGAAGCUCCGGCUAACUACGUGCCAGCAGCCGCGGUAAUACGUAGGGAACGAGCGUUGUCCGGAAUUACUGGGUGUAAAGGGAGCGUAGGCGGGAUCGCAAGUCAGAUGUGAAAACUAUGGGCUUAACCCAUAAACUGCAUUUGAAACUGUGGUUCUUGAGUGAAGUAGAGGUAAGCGGAAUUCCUAGUGUAGCGGUGAAAUGCGUAGAUAUUAGGAGGAACAUCAGUGGCGAAGGCGGCUUACUGGGCUUUAACUGACGCUGAGGCUCGAAAGCGUGGGGAGCAAACAGGAUUAGAUACCCUGGUAGUCCACGCCGUAAACGAUGAUUACUAGGUGGGGGGGGACUGCCCCUUUCCGUGCCGCAGCAAACGCAAUAAGUAAUCCACCUGGGGAGUACGACCGCAAGGUUGAAACUCAAAGGAAUUGACGGGGGCCCGCACAAGCAGUGGAGUAUGUGGAUUAAUUCGAAGCAACGCGAAGAACCUUACCAGGUCUUGACAUCGUAUGCAUAGCUCAGAGAUGAGUGAAAUCUCUUCGGAGACAUAUAGACAGGUGGUGCAUGGUUGUCGUCAGCUCGUGUCGUGAGAUGUUGGGUUAAGUCCCGCAACGAGCGCAACCCUUACUGUUAGUUGCUACGCAAGAGCACUCUAGCAGGACUGCCGUUGACAAAACGGAGGAAGGUGGGGAUGACGUCAAAUCAUCAUGCCCCUUAUGACCUGGGCCUCACACGUACUACAAUGGCUGUCAACAGAGGGAUGCAAAGCCGCGAGGUGGAGCGAAUCCCUAAAAGCAGUCUUAGUUCGGAUUGUAGGCUGCAACCCGCCUACAUGAAGUCGGAAUUGCUAGUAAUCGCAGAUCAGCAUGCUGCGGUGAAUACGUUCCCGGGCCUUGCACU
rnacentral:rRNA from 1 species